rnacentral:lncRNA from 10 species
CAUCCCGCCCUCCCGCCUCACCUACUCCCCAGCACGUUAUAAUGUGAAUCAUUCUCUAAAGACGGCCUUUCAAUUCUCCAUUUCCCAUCUUUACUCAUACCCCCAUCCUCACACCCACUUCCUUCAAGGCUCAGUUCAAAUCCCGCCUCCCCCACAAAAGCCUUCCCCAAUUUCCCCUCUUUUCUCCGUGUGACUCUGUUUCUCUGUUGUCAUUCCGCAUGCGUUGUCUGUCUCCAUAGGUUUGGAACCUUGCGUUGUUCUCCCUGGUGGCCCAGGACAGGGCCCUGCAUAAAGCAGGUGCUCAGUGAGUAUUCACUGAAUGAAACUGACAGCUGACCAGAUCUUACCUGCAUUGUCGCCAGCUAUAUGGGCAUAGGAAUUUCUGGAAGUGAUUUAAAAAUCAAGGACGUGUAAAUCAACAAAGAACAUAUUAAGCUUAGAGGUUCUUCGUCACAAGUUGCCAAAAUGAAACAGAACUGUGAAAAGAAAAUGGAGAUGCUUCUUCAGGAGGUGCCCGUGAUGUGAUUUACUUGAUGAUUAUGGCCUGCAGGGUAUUGAGAUGGGAUUAUGUAACUUAAAUAAACUGGAUAUGAGUAGAGAUCUGAAAGAUUUUUCAAAAACAUUCAGCUUUACUUUUUUUUUUCUCCUAAGGAACAAGUUGUUCACUCAUAGAGCUGAAAAGGAUAAAUGAAGUGUUCAGUUCACAGAAGCAAAAUAUGAGUAGUUCAUAUAUCUUUUGUAAAUGUUCUAUGUAUCACUGUAAACUAGACAUCUUCCACAUGCCCCUAUGUUUUUCCAUUUUGAAAUCAAUUUCUAGUUCAAACUUGUCAAUAGACAAUGAAUAUUUGCAAAGUUAUAGUUUCACUGAAUUAGGAUGUAACCUGUAGCUCACAAUGAAAAUGCCAUUAGCUUGAGUUUAAAAUUUAUGUUGCUAUUUUUUUCUUUUGUCAAUAUUUUCCUUCUGUGGGACUUAUUGCACAAGGGUCGGAUAUCACAACUGAGGGAAACUGCAGAACAAUGGUUCUUCCAAUCAUUCAGACCCAUUUAAGCCAUAGUCUUUGUUGGCUUUGCCAAAUGACUGAAUGCUUGGGUCUAUUAGCACUGUCAAAUAGUGUUGAGUACAUACUUGUGGCAUAAGCAAGUUAAUAUUUAUAGGGAGCACUUUUGCAUGUCUUUUAAGUCACAUACUAAUUUUGGAAAGUCUCUAUGCUUUAUAUUUUGCCCUGAAAACAGAUAUUCUAGUUUAAAAAUGUUAAUUUAGUGAUUAGAAACCGCUGUAUAUAUUAUUACAUAUAUUGUCUAACAAUUGAAGAUAAUUAUGUUUAUUAAUUGCAAAUAACAGGACACAUAAAUAAUAAACUUUAAGAUCUCAAAUACAAUGGCUAAAUAUUGCUGAUUCCUUUUUGCCUUCUUUGACUUAUUUUUUUCCAUGUGUUCUCUUCCUUUAUAGAAGUGUAUUUUUUAGCUAUGUGAUGUAGA